rnacentral:rRNA from 1 species
CGCUGGCGGCAGGCUUACACAUGCAAGUCGAGCGCUCGUAGCAAUACGGGAGCGGCAGACGGGAGAGUAACACGUGGGAACGUACCCUUCGGUUCGGAAUAACCCAGGGAAACUUGGGCUAAUACCGGAUACGUCCGUAAGGAGAAAGAUUUAUCGCCGAGGGAUCGGCCCGCGUCCGAUUAGCUAGUUGGUGGGGUAAUGGCCUACCAAGGCGACGAUCGGUAGCUGGUCUGAGAGGAUGAUCAGCCUCACUGGGACUGAGACACGGCCCAGACUCCUACGGGAGGCAGCAGUGGGGAAUAUUGGACAAUGGGCGCAAGCCUGAUCCAGCCAUGCCGCGUGGGUGAUGAAGGCCUUAGGGUUGUAAAGCCCUUUCGGCGGGGAAGAUAAUGACGGUACCCGCAGAAGAAGCCCCGGCUAACUUCGUGCCAGCAGCCGCGGUAAUACGAAGGGGGCUAGCGUUGCUCGGAAUCACUGGGCGUAAAGCGCACGUAGGCGGGUCUUUAAGUCAGGGGUGAAAUCCUGGAGCUCAACUCCAGAACUGCCUUUGAUACUGGAGAC